UCAGGUCCUCCCUUUAGGAAUGGUAAACAUGACACUAUUCAUCACUCACACAAACAAAUCACUUAAUUUUUGAUAAUUGAAUUGGUUUUUGCUGUUAAACUUUUUUUUUUUUUGUAACACAUUGCACUUCAUGUGUUUACAGAUUUGUGCAGAAUUUGAGACAUCCAGAAUUACCAUAGGCCCAGUAGAAUCAACGAUCUUUGCCAAACUGGAUCCGGACUGCAAAACUUAUGAAAAUGUUUGCAUACUGAAGAAGAGUCCUUGGACAAAUACUGAAACCCUCUUGGUGCCCACUACGCAGGCAGGGGUGUCCAGACCUGCUCUAGGAAAGCCAGUGUUCUGUGGAGUUUAGCUCUAACACACCUGCCUGGAACUUCUAACUAAUGAAAUUGAAGUAUCCAAUGAAGACCCUAGCAGUAUGGAGUAUAUGGUGAGGUUUUUUUUUUUCAAGGUUAAUAAAUGAUUUGUUAAAGUUAAUACACAAGAAUUUGAGUUCUCCAUCCUUUUAAAUACUUCUAGGAUACCGACGUUGCCAGCAAUCAGGAGGUGAUCCAGAAGACUCGUGGGAAUCUAUUUGA